rnacentral:lncRNA from 1 species
AAAAAACAAAGUAAAAAUUUUCCUGAAGCCCAAUUGCAAGAUGCCCUGUGUACCCAUGAACUGAAAAUUUGUAAUAUAGCUUUCCUUGUUUCUAGGCUGUAGUAUGCACAGAACAUAGGAUGGUUCACUGUGAUGUUCAUACCAUUCAGAAUUAGUAAUCUAAUUUGCCCAGGACUUGAUCCCAGGCAGCUGAAAAUAGUGCUGCCCUAUUUUUUUCAAGAGGUUUAAGCACCUAAUUCUUAUGAAUUUCAGUGAGAUCCAUAUGCAUGGGUCCUCAGAUCAUAUUUACUUCCACUUGUAAAAAUGUGAGGUUGUAUAAUAGAAGCUCUCUAAGCCCUGUGUUAGCAGACAUUCUGGGUACCCACUGCAGCUCACUGAGUUAAUUAAUGCGUUUAAGUGACCUACUGUAAUGUCUUCAUCUGUCAGAACCUGGAGACAGGGUAGCUAAGAGACCAUUUUGGAGUAUUCUGAGAUCACAGCAAUCUGAUGUUUAAGGAGGUUAAUGUAAUACUCACAGGGGCCUGAUGGAAGAGUUCACAAAACAGAUGAACCCACCUGAAUUCUGAGAGUUUGAGCAGGCGGAUUCUUAACCCGUAUUCAGAUGGCUGAUAACAUAACGAUGUCAUGGCCAAUGAGAAAAAUCAACUUGGAGGACAAAACUCACCUCCUCACUAACUCCAGUAGACGUGCCUCCUACUUGGAUCUUAGCUGCCCAAUAAGAACUCAAGAAAGCCAUGAGUCAGUGGGAACAAAUUCUGGUUUAAAGUGGAACAAGCCAAACUCUGUUACCCUCCUCAGCAACCCUGGGCUGAGUAGAAUCUCCACCUCACCUGCAGCCAGCCCAUGUCUUCAUGACUUGCCCAGCCUGCUGAGCCCAAUGCAGAAAUAA